GGGACAUUUUCCUGGAGCGGCUGGGAAAGAGGAGUCUCUCGAAAUUCAGCAACUGCUAACAGCGAGGAGGGGUUUUGAAAGGUAAAGGCCAUUAGCUUGGAGGCAGAAGACAGACCUCCCUGACUGCUGAAUUCCUGCCGGCCUGAAAUUGGAGCAUUCCAAGCUCCUCAGAUGAGUCAUAAGCCACCAAGAUUGUGAGCCUCUGGGCUUCUCCCAGCUUGUAGGAGAAAUGCCUUGCAGGUGAAGAUGGUGAGGAAGUUGGCCCUGAAAUAGCCCAGCCCCUCGAAGAGACAAACAGGGAGGAGCAUCAUUCAGGUGCUUCACUGGGAAAUGAACCAGGUGCUAGCCAGGAUCACUCCCUCCGAAGUCACACCAGAGGGAGGGCUGGAGGGAGAAUCAAAUGAAAGAGAGAGGGAGAGAAAGGAAGGAAGAGAAGGAGGGAGAAUGGAAGGAUGUAUGGAUUUGGAUGUAUGGGUUCCAUUCCUUCUACCCUGGCAAAAGCUUACUCAUCCUUCAGUGUCCAUCCAAAAUGGCAUCUCUUCUUGGGCACCAUCUCCAGAGUCUCCUGCAAGCAGGUAGCUACAUCCCACAAAACAACCACCCAUCUGACCAUGCAAGUGUGUGGGGGAAUGAAGACCAGCCCAGGAAUCUGAGAUGAAUGUUUUGCUUCUUGCUCUGCCACUGACUCACAGGGUACCCCAAGCAAGUCCCUUCACCUCCUCGGUCUCAGUUUCUCCAUUUAUACUACUAAGGCAGUGGACAUGAUGGCCUCAAGUCUCAACAUUUUUAUUCCCUGAAAAGAAACUCUUGGUGCUGAGUGGUCUUCUUCUGCCCUGACAUCUCACCUUUCAAACGCUUGUCUCUUCUCACCCCACCCACCACUUAGCAUGUGCUCUUGGAGAACACCCAGGACUCAGGGUCUCUGCACACAUCAUGAGUCCAGCUCAGCAUUUGAGGUGGAAUCAGAGGAAAGGAAGGAGAGUGGGGAGAAUAGUCAGUAUUUUGGCAAGCUCAUCAUACCUUCCCCCUUUGUAUAGAAACUUCAAACCAUUUCCCUUUGAAGGCACUACCUCCUUCCCCCAGUUAUAAAUGAGUGAAGGUCUCAAGCCUGGACAACCAAAUGCACAGUGAUUGGUUCAACUCUGGACCUGUGACUCAAGCCAGACCAAGGGAGUGACAUGCAGGGCUUUGCCUGGAACUAUUCUGAAAGGGGCACUCUCUUUCUGCUGGGCUACUGAUAAUAUGUGCAUCCGUGAUAGAAGAGCCUGCCUGAUAAUAAAGCCAAUAAGGGAAGAGCAGAGCCAAGAGAUGGUGGGAGAGCAGAUGCCUGAAAAUAUCAUUUGAGCCCCUGGGUCCAGCUGCACCUGAAGCCACCACGAUCUCCUGGACUUUGCAGUUACUUGAGUUCAUAAAUACCCUUUGGCAUUAAGCCAGAUUGAGUCUUAAUGCAUAUAGAAAUAAGAGAAAUGAGAAAAGAAAUUGAAAAGAGAGACAGCAGAGAACUGAUUCUCUACUAGAGCCUCCAGAAGGAAUCAACUCUGCCAACACCUUGAUUUUGGACUUGUGGCCUUCAGAACAGUGAAAUGAUAAACAUCUGUUAUUUUAAG
ensembl:lncRNA LINC01234 long intergenic non-protein coding RNA 1234